GGUGCCAGCAGCCGCGGUAAUUCCAGCUCCAAUAGCGUAUAUUAAAGUUGUUGCAGUUAAAAAGCUCGUAGUUGAAUUUCGGGGUCAGUAGGUUGGUCGUGCCACCGGUACGUACUGGUCUCACUGAUUCCUCCUUCCUGAUGAGCUGUAAUGCCAUUAAUUUGGUGUUGCAGGGAAUCUGGACUGUUACUUUGAAAAAUUAGAGUGUUUAAAGCAGGCUAACGCUUGAAUACAUUAGCAUGGAAUAAUGAAAUAGGACGUUCGAUCCUAUUUUGUUGGUUUCUAGGAUUGACGUAAUGAUUAAUAGGGAUAGUUGGGGGCAUUAGUAUUCAAUUGUCAGAGGUGAAAUUCUUGGAUUUAUUGAAGACUAACUACUGUGAAAGCAUUUGCCAAGGAUGUUUUCAUUAAUCAAGAACGAAAGUUAGGGGAUCGAAGACGAUCAGAUACCGUCGUAGUCUUAACCAUAAACUAUGCCGACUAGGGAUCGGAUGAUGUUAAUUUUUUUAAUGACUCAUUCGGCGCCUUACG
rnacentral:rRNA from 1 species